CCCCCGCUUCCGCUCCGUGCGGCUCCCGCAGCCCGGCGGCUUCGUUCCGCCCGCGGCAGCCAUGACGCGGCACGGGAAGAACUGCACGGCCGGCGCCGUGUACACCUACCACGAGAAGCGCAAGGACACGGCCGCCUCCGGGUACGGGACGCAGCGGCUGCGCCUGGGCCGCGACGCCGUGAAGGACUUCGACUGCUGCUGCCUCUCGCUGCAGCCCUGCCGCGACCCCGUCGUGACGUGAGUGACCCCCCCCCCAAAAAAAUCCCGGCCCCGAGAAGGGCUAUAGCCCUAAAAAGG